GGACGAUUGCACUAAUAAUUUAGUAACAAGGUCCCCAACCUUGACCGAUUUAUUCCGGCUCUAUAAUGUACCUACCUAGUAAAAUAUCUUACCACCACUCGAUUGCUUGUGGUAUGGUAGCAAAGCUAGUUGGUCGAGACCGAAGAAAACUUUGCAUAGAAGUGAGAGCGUCCAUAGCAGUUCCUUCGACAACAUCUAUAACAGCGAUCCCAGUUAUAUUUGGAAUCAAUGGAGCUGCACGAACUGCUACAGCACCACCCAUGCUGUGACCAACUAGAAUUACUGGGGAAUUUGGAGCAACUGCUUUUAUAAUGGCAGCUACGUCACUGAAAAAAAGUUGUGACAUAAUCGAUGAAGAGGCAAAGUAAUAAUGAAUCGAAAAAUUCAAGUCAAC
rnacentral:misc_RNA from 1 species